CGGGGAUGGAGCAAUGGGAGCAAGAG
rnacentral:piRNA from 1 species